GACGAACCGAGCGAACGUUGUUCGGAAUCACUGGGCUUAAAGGGCGCGUAGGCGGGCGCUCAAGUCCGUGGUGAAAUCCUCCGGCUCAACCGGGGAACUGCCAUGGAUACUGGGUGUCUCGAGGGUGAUAGGGGUAUGCGGAACUAUCGGUGGAGCGGUGAAAUGCGUUGAUAUCGAUAGGAACUCCGGUGGCGAAGGCGGCAUACUGGAUCACAUCUGACGCUGAGGCGCGAAAGCCAGGGGAGCAAACGGG
rnacentral:rRNA from 1 species